UACGUAGGUGGCAAGCGUUGUCCGGAUUUACUGGGCGUAAAGAGCGUGCAGGCGGUCGUUCAAGUCGCGUGUGAAAGCCCCCGGCUCAACUGGGGAGGGUCACGCGAUACUGAUCGACUCGAAGGCAGGAGAGGGUAGUGGAAUUCCCGGUGUAGUGGUGAAAUGCGUAGAUAUCGGGAGGAACACCAGUGGCGAAGGCGGCUCACUGGCCCGGUACUGACGCUGAGGUGCGAAAGCGUGGGGAGCAAACAGG
rnacentral:rRNA from 1 species